ACUGUCCAAACUAAUUGAUUGGUGCGAAAAUCUUGAAAACCAAGUUGGACAACCCUUUUGGUAAGGGGAGUGUAUGUUGUUGGAAACCCCAACACAUGAAUAAAUAUUAUUGUGGUGUUAUGCAUAACGUAAAGUAUUGUAGACUGAUCAUCUAUAGUACUUGAUAUUUUUGGUUAUCAGUUUAAUAUUGGUAACUCUAGUGGAAGUUCCAUAGUCCUUAGUGACUGCUUAGUAUAAAUUUCUUAUCCAGUUGGAUACAUUGUUAGCCGUUGAAUUCAUAUAUAUCUGUUGAUUUAUAUUGAAUUGUUAUAUCCCUUAUUCAUGAUGUUAUUCUGACACUUUGAACUAUCCGAGAAAUAACCCUUCGAUAUUUCAAAUCUUAUGAUAUUAUAUCCU
rnacentral:lncRNA from 1 species